rnacentral:rRNA from 1 species
AUGCCGGCCAGCGCUGCCGAGGCCGCCGCGGAAGGCGAGGAGAAGGCGGCGGAGGCUGGGGGCAGGGAGCUGCUGUACUGCGGCACGGUGCGCUUCGACAUCAUGGGCCGGAAGGUGAAGGGAGGGCAUGAGGGCAGAGGCAACCUGGUGUCCCCGACGCGGCUGCGCCCUCUCGUGGGCGUGGACAUCCGCUUCGUCGCCUCCGGCUGCGCGGCUUGCCACUGUGUUGCUCUGAGUGCUGACGGCCGUUGCUUCUCAUGGGGUCGAAAUGAGAAUGGGCAGCUGGGACAUGGGGACACUCUCUUGCGUAACCUGCCAACUGUUGUUUCUGAACUAUCAAAAUAUAACAUAAUUGCAGCAGGUGUUGGAAGAAAACAUACAGUGGUCGUAACUGACGAAGGGAAGUCCUUCGCAUUUGGUGACAACAAACAUGGACAACUGGGGACCGGUUCACUGAAGAGUGGAACUGUGGUGUCGCCAGUCCCCUGCCUUGUUACUAAAGCGACUAAUGCUGUUUGUGGUGCUGACUUUACUGUCUGGCUGUCAUCAGUCGAGGGCUCUUCAAUACUGACAGCAGGUCUUCCCCAGUAUGGCCAACUUGGUCAUGGAAGCGACAAUGAGUAUAAUGCCAAAGUUUCAUCGGUAAGUCUAGUAUAUGAUCCCCAGCCCCACCCCAGGGCAAUAGCUGCAUUUUCUGGGAACACUGUUGUCAAAGUUGCAUGUGGAACAAAUCAUACAGUUGCAGCUGAUUCAUGUGGCUUUGUUUACACCUGGGGUUUUGGUGGAUAUGGAAGGUUGGGCCACAAUGAACAGAAGGAUGAGUGGCAACCACGCCUUGUUGAAAUAUUUCAAAAGAGCAAUAUCCUGGGUCCCAAUGAUAUCAUCUCAGCCGGUUCUGCAAGUUCUGCCUGCACUGCUGGUGGUCGCGGGCAGCUGUAUAUGUGGGGAAAGGUGAAGAAUUCAGGCGAUGAGUGGAUGUAUCCAAAGCCAGUUAUGGAUUUAAGUGGUUGGAACAUCCGCUGCAUGGCUUCUGGUAACAUGCACCACACUGUUGGUGCAGAUGAUUCUUGCAUAAGUUGGGGCCAUUCUGAAUAUGGAGAGCUUGGUUAUGGUCCAACACAAAAGUCAUCUGUAAAUCCUAAAAAGGUUGACAUUCUUGAAGGAAUGCAUGUUACAAGUGUUGGUUGUGGAGUUGGGAUGUCUCUGAUCGUUGUUGACAGGGCAAAUGUUGGUGGUAAGCUUGACCAGCUGGAUACUUUUGAUGGUGAUGCUGAUGCUGUCUUUCAAGAGAACACGAAAGAGCUCUACUUUCCUCCGCGCCGCAAUGGGAAAGGAAAACCAAAUACAAAUACGAGCCAACAUCCCGCAGUCGAUGAAACAGAAGAAGAGACGUCCGAGGCGGAGCAGGUCACCAAGGCGGCAUCUCGCACCACGAAUUCACGGUCCAACAAGCGCAAGAAAGCCUUGGGACAUGCAGAAGCAGAGGACGAGGACGAGACUGGUGAAGUGCCCGAGGAGGCAGAGUGUGGCAGCCAUGGCCGCGGGCAGUCUACAAGAAGGGGCAGAGGCAGAGGCAGGGGAGCCAAGGCGGCGACUCCGGAGCCAAUGCCGUCCGGUAGGGGCAGAGGCAGGCCCAAGAAGGGGAGCCCUGGCGCUGCUCCUCCGGAAGCGGAAAGCUCGGGACGAGGUGGAAAGAAGAGCGGGAAGCGAGGGAGGCCUCGCAAGUGA